rnacentral:misc_RNA from 1 species
UUAAGUUCAGCGGGUAGUCCCACCUGAUUUGAGGUCAGAUGUCAUGUUCAAAAAGCUGUCUCUCAAUAUCGAGACGGUUAGGAGCUUGCCCAAAUCGCUUCAACAGCUGCGGCGUAAACAUUUAUCACACCAGGAGCCAAUCCGCAAGGAACCAAGCUAAUGCAUUUGAGAGGAGCCAAAGGAAUUUCCCAUCAGCAAGC